rnacentral:rRNA from 1 species
AACGAACGCUGGCGGCAUGCCUAACACAUGCAAGUCGAACGAGACCUUCGGGUCUAUUGGCGCACGUGUGCGUGCCGCGUGGGAACCUGCCCUUAGGUUCGGAAUCACUCCCCGAAGGGGGUGCUAAUACCGGAUAAUGUCUUCCGACCAAAGAUUUAUCGCCUUUGGAUGGGCCCGCGUUGGAUUCGCUGGUUGGUAGGGUAAAAGCCUACCAAGGCGACGAUCCAUAGCUGGUCUGAGAGGAUGAUCAGCCACACUGGGACUGAGACACGGCCCAGACUCCUACGGGGAGCAGCAGUGGGGAGUAUUGGAGAAUGGGCGAAAGCCUGAUCAAGCAAUGCCGGGUGAGUGAUGAAGGCCUUAGGGUUGUAAAGCUCUUUUACCCGGGAUGAUAAUGACAGUACCGGGAGAAUAAGCUCCGGCUAACUACGUG